UGGCCAUAUCACAUUGAAACACCAGUUCUUGUAUGAUCACUGAAGUUAAGCAAUGUUGAGCCUGUUCAGUACCUAUAUGAGUGACCGCUUGCGAAUACCAGGUGCUGUAAG